rnacentral:rRNA from 1 species
ACUCAAAUGAAUUGACGGGGGCCCGCACAAGCGGUGGAUCAUGUGGUUUAAUUCGAAGCAACGCGAAGAACCUUACCUGGGCUUGACAUACCGAUGAAUAUUUUUAGAGAUAGAAGUAGGCUCGCAAGAGACAUCGGAUACAGGUGCUGCAUGGCUGUCGUCAGCUCGUGUUGUGAAAUGUUGGGUUAAGUCCCGCAACGAGCGCAACCCCUGUCUUUGGUUGCCAUCAUUAAGUUGGGCACUCCAGAGAGACUGCCGUCGUCAAGACGGAGGAAGGUGGGGAUGACGUCAAGUCCUCAUGGCCCUUAUGUCCAGGGCGACACACGUGAUACAAUGGUAGGUAUAGAGAGUAGCGAAGUGGCGACACGGAGCCAAUCUCAAAAAGCCUAUCUCAGUUCGGAUUGAAGUCUGCAACUCGACUUCAUGAAGUUGGAAUCGCUAGUAAUCGCGGAUCAGAACGCCGCGGUGAAUACGUUCCCGGGCCUUGUACACACCGCCCGU